rnacentral:rRNA from 1 species
AGGAUAAACGCUGGCGGCGUGCAUGAGACAUGCAAGUCGAACGGACGCUCGGGGCUUGCUCUGAGCGUUAGUGGCGGACGGCUGAGUAACGCGUAGGUGACCUGCCCCGAAGUGGGGAAUAACUGCCCGAAAGGGUGGCUAAUACCGCAUGUGGUGGAGCGUUCAUUCGCUCCAGUAAAGCCGCAAGGCGCUUCGGGAGGGGCCUGCGUCCGAUUAGCUCGUUGGUGGGGUAACGGCUCACCAAGGCGACGAUCGGUAGGUGGUCUGAGAGGACGAUCACCCAGACUGGGACUGAGACACGGCCCAGACUCCUACGGGAGGCAGCAGUCGGGAAUUUUGCGCAAUGGACGAAAGUCUGACGCAGCAACGCCGCGUGAGGGAUGACGGCCUUCGGGUUGUAAACCUCUUUUUCAGGGACGAUAAUGACGGUACCUGACGAAUAAGUCACGGCUAACUACGUGCCAGCAGCCGC